AAUAUGUUUGUCAGUACCUGGAUAACCCGAAUAAUCCAGUCGUUAUUUAACGAUCACUUCGAUCACUCCAUUAACCAUUUCCUCGAGAAAAGUAUUGGAUAGGGGGCGCUGAAUUAUUCGAGUUAUUACAUGGAGAAAAGGUCUAUUUCAAAUGUUAUUCAAAGAUUAGAAGCGACGAUUCAAUUUCCAUUUGUGUAUUGUAUCUGUCGUGGUUGAAACGGCACCAGGAACAUAUCAGGAUAGACAACAGAAGUCUGGUGAGAAAAAUGUUAUGAAACACCAGCAAAAAAGACUAGAUUUUUAUUCAGUCCCGACUUAUACAGUGUUUCUGAAGAUUGAGAUUAGAUCAGGCCUAUCCAGAAGCCAGAAAAAGGACAAUUCAUGGCACGUACAUCUACAGAGAGAGACAUGUUUAAAAAAACAGAUUUAUUUUCAAUUUAAGAAAAACCUGUUGAACUAUUACUAUUUCUAAUCUGUUUAUUUACAUUUAUAUGUUGAUAUUUUGUUUUUUAAAAUUGCUGCACAGUAUUUCUAUUCAGUCCCACAUAAAAAAAUCAGCUGAAGAAAUUGAUAUUUUCAUAUUUCAAGGGAGUGUCCUUUUGCAUUGUUGAUAGCAGAUAUAUGUAUUGUAUUGUAUUGUCAGAUCGCAACUUCAAAUAAUAUAAAAUACUUUUUUUAUGAAUGUUAUAUGUCUUUGAAUAGACAUGAAAGAUAGAAAAUUAUAUAGGAACACAAUUUUCUAUGACCUAAAUGUAUUGCCAUGGUAAAUUUAUUAUGUGAACAUAUCAAAUAUUAUCAAAAACGUCGCUGGUUUAAUUUAAAAUAAAAUUAUUCU